ACUCCUACGGGAGGCAGCAGUGGGGAAUAUUGCACAAUGGGCGCAAGCCUGAUGCAGCCAUGCCGCGUGUAUGAAGAAGGCCUUCGGGUUGUAAAGUACUUUCAGCGGGGAGGAAGGCGAUAAGGUUAAUAACCUUGUUGAUUGACGUUACCCGCAGAAGAAGCACCGGCUAACUCCGUGCCAGCAGCCGCGGUAAUACGGAGGGUGCAAGCGUUAAUCGGAAUUACUGGGCGUAAAGCGCACGCAGGCGGUCUGUCAAGUCGGAUGUGAAAUCCCCGGGCUCAACCUGGGAACUGCAUUCGAAACUGGCAGGCUAGAGGCUUGUAGAGGGGGGUAGAAUUCCAGGUGUAGCGGUGAAAUGCGUAGAGAUCUGGAGGAAUACCGGUGGCGAAGGCGGCCCCCUGGACAAAGACUGACGCUCAGGUGCGAAAGCGUGGGGAGCAAACAGGAUUAGAAACCCGGGUAGUCCC
rnacentral:rRNA from 1 species